UACGUAGGUGGCAAGCGUUGUCCGGAUUUACUGGGCGUAAAGAGCGCGCAGGCGGUCGUUCAAGUCGCGUGUGAAAGCCCCCGGCUCAACUGGGGAGGGUCACGCGAUACUGAUCGACUCGAAGGCAGGAGAGGGUAGUGGAAUUCCCGGUGUAGUGGUGAAAUGCGUAGAGAUCGGGUGGAACACCAGCGGCGAAGGCGGCAUCCUGGCCCUGUACUGACGCUGAGGCGCGAUAGCGUGGGGAGCAAACGGG
rnacentral:rRNA from 1 species